rnacentral:rRNA from 1 species
AUGGAGAUUUUUGAGCAUGUCACUGAAUUUAAUUGUUAUCCUAAUGUCUCUAUUAUAUUGCAUCUUAUUUAUAGUGCAUCUGACGGUGUCUCAGUUGAAAGACGAAGCUUUUCAAAGUUAAAAUUAUCAAUGAACUAUCUGAGGUCAAGAAUGACUAAUGAGAAUUUUAAUGGCUUGGCAUCAAUAUGCGUCAAGAAGAAAUUAUUGGAAGAGAUUGACAUGGACCUCAUCAGAAGUGACUUUGCAUCGAAAAGUGAUAUAAUUUUUUAA